GAUGAACGCUAGCGGCAGGCCUAAUACAUGCAAGUCGAGGGAGAAUGUUGGAUUCGUCUGACAUGAAACCGGCGCACGGGUGCGUAACACGUAUGCAACCUACCUUUAACUGGGGUAUAGCUCAGAGAAAUCUGAAUUAAUCCCCCAUAAGACUACGACAUGGCAUCAUGAUGUAGUUAAAGCUCCGGCGGUUAAGGAUGGGCAUGCGGUACAUUAGCUAGUUGGUGAGGUAAUGGCUCACCAAGGCUACGAUGUAUAGGGGGUCUGAGAGGAUGAUCCCCCACACGGGUACUGAGACACGGACCAGACUCCUACGGGAGGCAGCAGGAGGGAAUAUUGGUCAAUGGACGCAAGUCUGAACCAGCCAUGCCGCGUGAAGGAUGAAGGCCCUAUGGGUCGUAAACUUCUUUUAUUAGGGAAGAAAAAACGGGAUGCGUCCUGUACUGACGGUACUUAAUGAAUAAGGAUCGGCUAACUUCGUGCCAGCAGCCGCCGCAG
rnacentral:rRNA from 1 species